rnacentral:lncRNA from 1 species
CACGUUAUUGUAACUAACGGGGAAUAAAAACGGAAUAGAAACGGUGUUUUGUUGGAAUGGAUUAAUUGGAACGAUGACAGUACAGACUGCGUUUGGAUUAUUUAAGACCGUGUUUGGAUUUUAGAACGCAGGUGACGCUGAUUUUUGCAGUGGAAAUUUAGAAUUAUGCGGUUGAGGUGAAAAGAAUCAUCAUAUAUUUGCGUUUUUGUUAAAGGUUGGGGAAUUCCGUUUGGUGAAGAACCGGUCUUAAGCAAAAUAAUUGUGUUCAAAAUAUUGAAUUACUGAUUUAUCCUCAACUGUGAUUGUGAAACGCAGAAUUGCCAUUUGCUAUUCAUCAUAUAGUUUUUUCUGUUUGUUUGUCGUCACACCAUAAUACUAGCCACACGAGCAUUUGGCAUUGGCGUUUUAUCCCGUAGCAAUCAAUCAUCAUUUUUACCCUCAUUACAUUAA